AUCUAAACAUCUAUAACUCAUCUCACCUAAACAUCGAUCCAUUCAAACAUCUAAAUAUGUAUCCAAACAUAUGUUUUAACAUCUACCCCUACAUUCCUCCAUACAUACAAACAACUAUUCAUCUUUACAUCUGAACAUAUGAUCUUUCAGAUAAACGUUUGUCCACAUUUUUAUUCAUCCAUCCAUCAGUUUAAACAUCUAUCCAUCUAAACAUCUAACAUUCAGACAACAAAACAUCUAUCCAUCCAAACAUCCAACAUCCUGCCAUCUAAAUAUCUAUAAACCCACCUGAUUUAAAUAUCUAAUAACUGUCCAAACAACUGUUUAAACAUCUACCCCUACAUCCUUCCAUCUACCCAUUCGUGCAUCCAACUAUCCAUGUAAACAUCUACCCAUUCAACCCCUUCUAAACAUUUAAUAUUUCACUCUUCCCAUCUAAACAUCUAUCCAUCCAAACGUCUAAUACCCAGACAUGCAAACAUCUAUUUACCCACCCAAAGGAAACAUCUGAAUAUGUAUACAAACAUCUGUAAAACAUCUAUUCCUACAUCCCUCCAUACAGUCAAACAUCCAUUCAUUUGAACAUCUGGACAUCUAUUUUUUCUGCUAAACAUCUGCCCACCCGUUCAUUCAUCUAUACAUCCAUACAUCCGUUCAUUCAGCAAACAUCUAAACGUCUAGCCAAUAAUAUGGCUCAUCUACCAAUCAGGACAGUGCUGGGGGGUCACAUGGGCCUGGCUGUGAGCUGAAGGCUGGCUGUGAGUGCAGCGCUCUUCCAGUGGAGAGACGCGCACCGAUACACACACACUUACAGUUUUGUCUCUCACACACUCACUCACACACACACUUACACAGUCUCUCUCUCUCACACACACUUACACACAGAAGCUCUCUCUCACUCUCCGGCUGUGUCUGAUGGGAGUAGGGCUCUCGGGCGGAGGGAUUAUCGGGGAGUUUCGGUGAAGGUAAAGUUCGGCUCGGCUGAGCUGCGCGGAGCUCCGGCUGCAGCGGUUCCGAACAGGCGCAGAAAGCCAGCGAGCAGAGAGCGGGUCCGGGAGGUUCUGGAGCAUGGAGGUUCUGCGGUUCUGCCUCUACUGUUUAGUAAUAAAGACGGGCCGUUAAAGCCGAGCCGACCCACCGAGCAGCUCCUUUUAUCCCCCGUAUCAAAACACGACGUCCUGUGGCGCUCUGAGGGCCGGAUGAUCUAAUUGGAUGGUUAUGCUGUUCUGAGGAACGUUGACUCGCUGACUCACUUACACUUCUGCUCCUCUCUGUGCCCCAUUAAAGUGCCAAUUCAGAAUGAUAUCAAACAUUACACACAGCAGCCGCCAUCGUCCACUUCUGACCUGAUCCAACACUGACUCAUGUACACCACUUAGCAUGUUGCUAACUGUUCUAUUUAAAACACAAUGGAAUUUUACAUUCCACAAGUUAGUAUGUUUCCAGCUAGAAGCCUUUUAAAGUAAAGUACGCUUAUUUACACCAGUUAGCACGGUGCUAACAGCAGUCUUUAAAAAGUAAUAGAAGUAUAUACCCACCAACUAGCAUGAUGCUAGCUGUACAUUUUUAAUCAGGCACAAUUUAUACACAUAUUCCUCCAAUUAGCAUGGUG
ensembl:lncRNA